AACUUCUUUAUCAGCGAGUGCUUGCACUCACCGAUCAAUAGUGGAGUGGCGAACGGGUGAGUAACACGUGGGCAACCUGCCCAAAAGAGGGGGAUAACACUUGGAAACAGGUGCUAAUACCGCAUAACCAUAGUUACCGCAUGGUAACUAUGUAAAAGGUGGCUAUACUACCGCUUUUGGAUGGGCCCGCGGCGCAUUAGCUAGUUGGUAGGGUAAAGGCUUACCAAGGCAAUGAUGCGUAGCCGAAUUGAGAGGUUGAUCGGCCACAUUGGGACUGAGACACGGCCCAAACUCCUACGGGAGGCAGCAGUAGGGAAUCUUCCACAAUGGGCGAAAGCCUGAUGGAGCAACGCCGCGUGGGUGAAGAAGGUCUUCGGAUCGUAAAACCCUGUUGUUAGAGAAGAAAGUGCGUGAGAGUAACUGUUCACGUUUCGACGGUAUCUAACCAGAAAGCCACGGCUAACUACGUGCCAGCAGCCGCGGUAAUACGUAGGUGGCAAGCGUUAUCCGGAUUUAUUGGGCGUAAAGGGAACGCAGGCGGUCUUUUAAGUCUGAUGUGAAAGCCUUCGGCUUAACCGGAGUAGUGCAUUGGAAACUGGGAGACUUGAGUGCAGAAGAGGAGAGUGGAACUCCAUGUGUAGCGGUGAAAUGCGUAGAUAUAUGGAAGAACACCGGUGGCGAAAGCGGCUCUCUGGUCUGUAACUGACGCUGAGGUUCGAAAGCGUGGGUAGCAAACAGGAUUAGAUACCCUGGUAGUCCACGCCGUAAACGAUGAAUGCUAAGUGUUGGAGGGUUUCCGCCCUUCAGUGCUGCAGCUAACGCAAUAAGCAUU
rnacentral:rRNA from 1 species